GAAAGCAGGACAGCUAUGCUGGAACACCCUCAGGUCAAGUCUGGGUCAAGGGAAGGCAAGUUGUAAAAUGGUUUGCUUCUUAACUGCUUGUCCCCUGUCAGCAUCUCUUACAAUGGAGGAAGCCAAUGACAGAAGACUUGGUGCUGCAGGCAGGAGCCCUUGGAGCUCACCUGCUUCCUGUACUUACAAAGGAAAAGGAGGCUCCAAUUUGGAUCCCAGAGUGGCUGGUGCGUGCAGCCUUGCCUCCAAACACCAUUCAUGAUGCUGAAGAUGCUGAUGAUAACUCUGGGGAUGCUAUACCUCCUGCGGCAGACUCAAGCCAGAGAGCUGUGAGCAGUGAUUAAAGCAUGGCUAUAUCCUUUACCAGUGACUAACUCUUCUCUCAUAUUCCCUCCUCUCCCUUUGAUGCAUGGCAGGUCUGUAACUUGCUAGGAGCAUGUACUGAUAUCUCAGCAGUGUCCAUGUUAAAUGGUGGCAAAUUCCUCAACUGUUCUUAUAAACAAAAUGACUCUAGUACCUUUGAGACAACAGUUAAUGUGUCUUGUCCCAAUAAUAUUACUUAUCAGCCCACUCCCAUAUGCGUCUCGCCACCAUUCCUUUUCCUCGUAACAAAUGCUAGUGAGCUGAAUGAUAUGUUGAAUUGCACUAAGAAUUGCUAUCUUUCCCAGUGCUGGAAUGUCACGGCCUUCAAGCUGGCUGUAAUUAUGCAUAUCCCUACCCAUGUUCCUAUCCCAGUUUCCAUUCCAGAGGACAAGUUACCGGUGGUGCUAUCCAGAAAGAAGAGAGAUUUUGGUAUCACAGCCGCCGUUGUGACAGCUUUGGCUAUAUCUACAGCAGCUGCCAUGGCAGCAGCAAUCUCGCUUGCUGCAACUAUACCCACUGUGGAAGCUGUGAA